rnacentral:tRNA from 1 species
GCGGUAGUGGUGUAAUGGUUAGCACGGGGGCCUGUGGAGCCCCAGAAGCGGGUUCGAUUCCCGCCUACCGCC